rnacentral:lncRNA from 1 species
UGCUCAGCAUAACAAAAACCAAAAUUCUUCCAAAUUCUAACAAGUCUUGUCACAAGCCAAAAGAGACUAGUAAAUAAAUCAAAAUCAAUCCCAACUAAUGAAACUUCUGGAAAAGCCCAAUAAUCAAGCUUUUUCUGGAAAUUUAAAAACACCAACAAAGAAGUGCUAAGUUAAUUGGUAAAAAACUAUGAAUGCAGUAACUCACCAAAUGACCUCCAUACACAACAAAGUUCUGCAACGCCCCAAUUAGCAGAAGCGCCCAAAUGGGUAAGACCUCGCCAAUUGCAUAAAGCCCAAGCCACAAAUCCAGUACUAUCAGCAAAGUGAUCAAAGGUGAUAUACUCCCGAAUGGGUACCCACUCCUUGAAUCGCUCAUGCAAAUACUGCAUCAUCAAUUCUGGCAGAAAUGAUGAGUGAUGAGACAGGAUUAUGGGUUACGGCGGAGAUAAUGGGAUCUUGAAGAGAAGUUGAUGAGAAUUGAUUUUUCAAGGAAUCAAGUUGAUGAGAAUUGAUUAUAGAAAGAUGAUGGAGACGAUCGGAAGACGUAGUUAGCUAAGAAAUUUUAUCUUUCUUCCCUGUUUUUAUUUCAUUUGGAGGAUAUUUAGAUAAUUAAUUCC